ACUAGGAAAGAUUUCUGGACACGUUAAUAAAAGUAUCCUAAUGAACAACAGCUGCAAAGAACAUGUCUUUAGAUAAAUUGAUUCCAAAUUUUCCUGUAUGUUUCUGUGAUUUUGCUCUUUAAAUGGGCACCACUGACUUUAUGCUUGGCUAUCUAAAAAAAGCUGAAGGAAAAAAAUCAUAUAUUGUUUCAAAAAAAUUUAGUUGUCUUGCUUUUCUUCACCAUUCUUGGUUUGAAGAGGUUAAUGUGCGUUCACAUCGAUUACCUCACUUCUGCUUGUAAUAGUUCUUUGGAGCACGAGGAGGCAAGUUAUAUAUCUUCCCCAUUUUUAAUGUGGUACAGAAAGUUUACAUACUUGUCCAGAUUGGGCAUCAGGAUUAGAACUCAGAUCUCCUGAUUUUGAGGAUCAUCUUCAGACCCUGGGCUCCGCUGUCUUUUAAAACAAAACCGAAAAUAUCCCCUUACCAGCAGAGAACACGUAUGAUGACGAUAUCCGUGCUGUCCCCUAUUCAGGCUCCAUGAACUUCAUAUACAACAUAUACGAGUGGUAUUUGGCUCAAAGUUUCUGUUCAAUUAUAAAUAUGAAAUGAGAUCGGAAUUUUUUCCUCUAAGGAGUAAAACUUACCAAUUUAUUUAAUCCUCAAAAAACCUUUUAUAUGAAUUACUUACCAUCUGAAAUCAUAUUUAAACUUUCAAUUAUAUUUAAACUUUAUGAAGAAUGAACUUGUUUUACUAAUCAGUAAAUAAAGAAGUGGCACUUGGAAGAUGAUUGAGAUAGAUGCUUCCAUUUUUGGUUUUAAUAGCAUAGCAGAUGGUCCUAUUUUUUUUCUCACACAGGAGGCUAGAAAUCAAAAUUUGGCUCCACAGCCACAUGACUUCCCCUCUGUGGUCUACUGCUCUGGACAUCUGGGUUUCUUGUGGAUUGUGUUCAAUCAGCAAUGUUGAGAAACUACUGGAAAAGAAUCUUUGCAUAUUCGAGAAUACUUCCAUCUAUAUGGCAAUGUAUGAUUUAUAUUUCUCAAAAUUUCUUGGUCAAAAGGAAAUUUUGCAACCCU
rnacentral:lncRNA from 1 species